rnacentral:tRNA from 1 species
GCUGAUGUAGCUCAGUUGGUAGAGCAGCUCAUUCGUAAUGAGCAGGUCACGAGUUCGACUCUCGUCAUUGGCUCCA